GUGAGGAAUAUUGGUCAAUGGAGGCAACUCUGAACCAGCCAUGCCGCGUGCAGGAAGACGGUCCUAUGGAUUGUAAACUGCUUUUAUUUAGGAAUAAACCCCCGGUCGUGCACCGGGGCUGAAUGUACUAAAAGAAUAGCACCGGCUAACUCCGUGCCAGCAGCCGCGGUAAUACGGAGGGUGCAAGCGUUAUCCGGAAUCAUUGGGUUUAAAGGGUCCGCAGGCGGGUAAAUAAGUCAGAGGUGAAAUCCGGCAGCUCAACUGUCGCACUGCCUUUGAUACUGUUUAUCUUGAAUUUUAGUGGAGUGGGCGGAAUAUGUCAUGUAGCGGUGAAAUGCUUAGAUAUGACGUGGAACACCGAUAGCGAAGGCAGCUCACUAACUAUGAAUUGACGCUCAUGGACGAAAGCGUGGGUAGCAAACAGGAUUAGAUACCCCGGUAGUCC
rnacentral:rRNA from 1 species